AGUGAACGCUGGCGGUAGGCCUAACACAUGCCAGUCGAACGGCAGCACAGUAAGAGCUUGCUCUUACGGGUGGCGAGUGGCGGACGGGUGAGGAAUACAUCGGAAUCUACUUUUUCGUGGGGGAUAACGUAGGGAAACUUACGCUAAUACCGCAUACGACCUACGGGUGAAAGCAGGGGAUCUUCGGACCUUGCGCGAUUGAAUGAGCCGAUGUCGGAUUAGCUAGUUGGCGGGGUAAAGGCCCACCAAGGCGACGAUCCGUAGCUGGUCUGAGAGGAUGAUCAGCCACACUGGAACUGAGACACGGUCCAGACUCCUACGGGAGGCAGCAGUGGGGAAUAUUGGACAAUGGGCGCAAGCCUGAUCCAGCCAUACCGCGUGGGUGAAGAAGGCCUUCGGGUUGUAAAACCCUUUUGUUGGGAAAGAAAAGCAGCAGGUUAAUACCCCGCUGUUCUGACGGUACCCAAAGAAUAAGCAUCGGCUAACUUCGUG
rnacentral:rRNA from 1 species